rnacentral:lncRNA from 1 species
GUUGCAUCAUGGAGAGUCCUGCAAGUCUGAAACCAUGAUGUUUGUGAAUUUGUGAUCCUAGAUCCUGAUUGAACACUUAGAUUAUUGAGUUUGACUUAAGUUGAUGUGAAUCGUAAUCAUCAUGAUUCUGGAAGUCUCCCAUUGAGCUGACACAUCUAUUUUUUUCCCUACAUGUGAAAACUUAGUGUCUAGAAAAAAUAGCUCUUGAGAUGUUUAGAAGAGAGGUUAAUCUAGUUUGUUCAGAAGCCUUGCACAUCUAUUUUCCCCCUAUGCAACCAGAUUAAUUCUUUGCACUAUUCUGAUUUACUUAUUUCUUCACACUUAGCAAUCUAACAUGCUUGUGCUGUCCCUUUUUUAUUAUCUUGUAGGCUUGCAGGUGUUGAUGCUGAC